rnacentral:rRNA from 1 species
CUUUGAAUUACUUUGUGAACGACUGGUGCUAUAUAAAUAAACUUGCCUUGCCAGAUCUCAGAGGUUAGGCAAGGCUCAGUCUGGUUAGUACUUGGAUGGGAGACUGCUGGGAAUUCCAGGUGCUACAGUGG